GACGAACGCUGGCGGCGUGCUUAACACAUGCAAGUCGAGCGGUAAGGCCCUUUCGGGGGUACACGAGCGGCGAACGGGUGAGUAACACGUGGGUGACCUGCCCUCAGCUCUGGGAUAAGCCUGGGAAACCGGGUCUAAUACCGGAUAUGACUCCAUGACGCAUGUUGUGGGGUGGAAAGCCUUGUGCGGCUGAGGAUGGGCCCGCGGCCUAUCAGCUUGUUGGUGGGGUGANGGCCUACCAAGGCGACGACGGGUAGCCGGCCUGAGAGGGCGACCGGCCACACUGGGACUGAGACACGGCCCAGACUCCUACGGGAGGCAGCAGUGGGGAAUCUUGCGCAAUGGGCGAAAGCCUGACGCAGCGACGCCGCGUGAGGGAUGACGGCCUC
rnacentral:rRNA from 1 species